CCCCGGCACGGCCGGAUCCGGCGCCUCAUCCCCAUCUCCCCUGUUCCCGCAGGGCUCUGGGCGGCCGUGACCCUGCUGGAGUGCAGGGGGGACCUCCAGCCCCCCGGGGGGUCCCUGACUCUGCUCUGCCGCACCUCCGGUUUUGAUUUUGGAAGUUACACCAUGAGUUGGAUUCGCCAGAGCCCCGGGAAGGGGCUGGAAUGGGUCGCUGGGAUCCACAACAAUGGUGGCAGCACCUACUACGCGCCAUCAGUCAAGGGCCGGUUCUCGAUCUCCAGGGACAACGGGCAGAGCUCGGUGACGCUGACCAUGAACAACCUCAAGGACGAGGAUUCCGCCGUUUAUUUCUGUGCCAAACACGGCGCUGGUGGUUCUGCUCAUGCUUAUGGUAUUGAUGGCUUUGGCCCCAUCCCCUUUCCCAGGUCCCCAAAUGUCCCCAAACUCCAACCCUUGACUAUCGAGAACCGGCCCUUGACCGAUGGCGCGUAG